GACGAACGCUGGCGGCGUGCUUAACACAUGCAAGUCGAACGGAAAGGCCCUGCUUUUGUGGGGUGCUCGAGUGGCGAACGGGUGAGUAACACGUGAGUAACCUGCCCUUGACUUUGGGAUAACUUCAGGAACCUGGGGCUAAUACCGGAUAGGAGCUCCUGCUGCAUGGUGGGGGUUGGAAAGUUUCGGCGGUUGGGGAUGGACUCGCGGCUUAUCAGCUUGUUGGUGGGGUAGUGGCUUACCAAGGCUUUGACGGGUAGCCGGCCUGAGAGGGUGACCGGCCACAUUGGGACUGAGAUACGGCCCAGACGCCUACGGGAGGCAGCAGUGGGGAAUAUUGCACAAUGGGCGGAAGCCUGAUGCAGCAACGCCGCGUGCGGGAUGACGGCCUUCGGGUUGUAAACCGCUUUCGCCUGUGACGAAGCGUGAGUGACGGUAAUGGGUAAAGAAGCACCGGCUAACUACGUG
rnacentral:rRNA from 1 species